CAAAAGCUUGGUCCUGACUUUUCUGUCAUCUUUGAUUAAAUUUAUACAUGCAAGCCUCCACACCCCCGUGAGAAUGCCCUCUCCACCCCUCCCCGGGUGAGAGGAGCAGAUAUUAGGCACAACACUGUUAGCCCACAACAUCUUGCUUAGCCACACCCCCAAGGGAACCCAGCAGUAAUAAACAUUAAGCCAUAAGUGCAAACUUGACUUAGUUAUCAUCAAGAGGGCCGGUUAAACUCGUGCCAGCCACCGCGGUUAUACGAGAGGCCCAAGUUGACAAAGAUCGGCGUAAAGCGUGGUUAAUGAUAAUUCCACUAAAGCCAAACACCUUCAAGGCUGUAAUACGCCCCCGAAGACAGGAAGACCCAUCACGAAAGUAGCUUUAAUCUUCAUGAACCCACGAAAGCUAGGAAACAAACUGGGAUUAGAUACCCCACUAUGCCCAGCUGUAAACACAAAGGACAUCUUACCCGUCCUUCGCCAGGGAACAACGAGCCCCAGCUUAAAACCCAAAGGACUUGGCGGUGCUUUAGACCCCCCUAGAGGAGCCUGUUCUAGAAUCGAUAUUCCCCGUUCAACCUCACCCCUUCUUGUUUUUACCGCCUAUAUACCGCCGUCGUCAGCUUACCCUGUGAAGGUCUAAUAGUAAGCAAAAUUGGCAAAGCCUAAAACGUCAGGUCAAGGUAUAGCGUAUGAAGGGGGAAGAAAUGGGCUACAUUUGGUGACCCAACAAACACGAAUGAUGCACUGAAAAAACAUCUGAAGGAGGAUUUAGCAGUAAGGAGGGAAUAGAGCGCCCCCCUGAAGACGGCCCUGAAGCGCGCACACACCGCCCGUCACUCUCCCUCAAGACCCAAAAUAAAUAAAUAAUAAGUUACUAAAUAUUAAGGGGAGGCAAGUCGUAACAUGGUAAGUGUACCGGAAGGUGUACUUGGAAAACC
rnacentral:ncRNA from 1 species